CCUACGGGGGGCAGCAGUGAGGAAUAUUGGUCAAUGGACGAGAGUCUGAACCAGCCAAGUAGCGUGCAGGAUGACUUCCCUAUGGGUUGUAAACUUCUUUUAUAUGGGAAUAAAACGUCCCACGUGUGGGAUUUUGUAUGUACCAUAUGAAUAAGGACCGGCUAACUCCGUGCCAGCAUCCGCGGUAAUACGGAGGAUCCGCGCGUUAUCCGGAUUUAUUGGGUUUAAAGGGAGCGUAGGUGGCUUGUUAAGUCAGUUGUGAAAGUUUGCGGCUCAACCGUAGAAUUGCAGUUGAAACUGGCAGUCUUGAGUACAGGAGAGGUAGGCGGAAUGCGUGGUGUAGCGGUGAAAUGCUUAGAUAUCACGAAGAACUCCGAUUGCGAAGGCAGUUCACUGGACUGCAACUGACACUGAGGCUCGAAAGUGUGGGUAUCAAACAGGAUUAGAUACCCUUGUAGUC
rnacentral:rRNA from 1 species